rnacentral:rRNA from 1 species
UGCAUGUCUCAGUACUUGCUUUAACAAGGCGAAACCGCGAAUGGCUCAUUAAAUCAGUUAUGGUUCACUAGAUCGUAAAUCCUACACGGAUAACUGUGGUAAUUCUAGAGCUAAUACGUGCAAACGGCUCGUUCCCUUGUGGAGCGAGCGCAGUUAUUAGAACAAAACCAAUCCGGCCUUCGGGUCGGUUAAAAUGGUGACUCUGAAUAACCGAAGCGGAGCGUAUGGUCUCGUACCGACGCCAGAUCUUUCAAGUGACUGCUCUAUCAGCUUGUUGCUAGGUUAUGCUCCUAGCAAGGCUUCAACGGGUAACGGGGUAUCAGGGUCCGAUACCGGAGAGGGAGCCUGAGAAACGGCUACCACAUCCAAGGAAGGCAGCAGGCGCGCAAAUUACCCACUCCCAGCACGGGGAGGUAGUGACGAAAAAUAACGAUGCGAGGGCAUAUUGCUUCUCGUAAUCGGAAUGGGUACACUUUAAAUCCUUUAACGAGGAUCUAUUGGAGGGCAAGUCUGGUGCCAGCAGCCGCGGUAAUUCCAGCUCCAAUAGCGUAUAUUAAAGUUGCUGCGGUUAAAAAGCUCGUAGUUGGAUCUGGGCAGCUGGAUGUGCGGUGCGCUUUACAGCGUUACUGCUCGUUUGGCGCCACAAGCCGGCCAUGUCUUGCAUGCUCUUCACUGGGUGUGCUUGGCGACCGGAACGUUUACUUUGAAAAAAUUAGAGUGCUCAAAGCAGGCGUAUGGCCUUGCAUAAUGGUGCAUGGAAUAAUGGAAUAGGACCUCGGUUCUAUUUUGUUGGUUAUCGGAGCUCGAGGUAAUGAUUAAGAGGAACAGACGGGGGCAUUCGUAUUGCGGCGUUAGAGGUGAAAUUCUUGGAUCGUCGCAA